GUGCUCACUUUGGCAGCACAUAUGCUAAAAUUGGAAUAAGAGAAGAUGAUUAGCAUGGCCCCUGCUGAAGGAUGACACACAAGUUCAUGAAGCAUUACAUAUUUUU